rnacentral:rRNA from 1 species
UACAUGAAGCUGGAAUUGCUAGUAAUCACAGGUCAGCAUACUGUGGUGAAUACGUUCCCGGGCCUUGUACACACCGCCCGUCACACCAUGAGAGUUGAGAAUACCCGAAGUCCAUGUCAAAGUGGCCGAAGGUAGGCUUGAUGAUUGGGUGAAGUCGUAACAAGGUAAC